GGGGGAUAUUGGACAAUGGGGGCAACCCUGAUCCAGCGACGCCGCGUGAGGGAAGAAGGUUUUCGGAUUGUAAACCUCUGUUGACGGAGAAAAAAAUGAUGGUAUCCGUCUAGAAAGCCACGGCUAACUACGUGCCAGCAGCCGCGGUAAUACGUAGGUGGCAAGCGUUGUCCGGAAUUACUGGGUGUAAAGGGAGUGUAGGCGGGAUAUCAAGUCAGAAGUGAAAAUUACGGGCUCAACUCGUAACCUGCUUUUGAAACUGACAUUCUUGAGUGAAGUAGAGGCAAGCGGAAUUCCUAGUGUAGCGGUGAAAUGCGUAGAUAUUAGGAGGAACACCAGUGGCGAAGGCGGCUUGCUGGGCUUUUACUGACGCUGAGGCUCGAAAGCGUGGGGAGCAAACAGGAUUAGAUACCCUGGUAGUCCACGCCGUAAACGAUGAUUACUAGGUGUGGGGGGAUUGACCCCUUCCGUGCCGGAGUAAACACAAUAAGUAAUCCACCUGGGGAGUACGACCGCAAGGUUGAAACUCAAAGGAAUUGACGGGGGCCCGCACAAGCAGUGGAGUAUGUGGUUUAAUUCGACGCAACGCGAAGAACCUUACCAGGUCUUGACAUCAAGUGACCGCCUAAGAGAUUAGGUUUUCCCUUCGGGGACACAAAGACAGGUGGUGCAUGGUUGUCGUCAGCUCGUGUCGUGAGAUGUUGGGUUAAGUCCCGCAACGAGCGCAACCCUUAUCAUUAGUUGCUACGCAAGAGCACUCUAAUGAGACUGCCGUUGACAAAACGGAGGAAGGUGGGGAUGACGUCAAAUCAUCAUGCCCUUUAUGACCUGGGCUACACACGUACUACAAUGGCGUUUAACAAAGAGAAGCAAAGCCGCGAGGCAGAGCAAAUCUCCAAAAAACGUCUCAGUUCGGAUUGUAGGCUGCAACUCGCCUACAUGAAGUCGGAAUUGCUAGUAAUCGUAGGUCAGCAUACUACGGUGAAUACGUUCCCG
rnacentral:rRNA from 2 species